GCCGGGCGCGGUGGCGCGUGCCUGUAGUCCCAGCUACUCGGGAGGCUGAGGUGGGAGGAUCGCUUGAGCCCAGGAGUUCUGGGCUGCAGUGCGCUAUGCCGAUCGGGUGUCCGCACUAAGUUCGGCAUCAAUAUGGUGACCUCCCGGGAGCGGGGGACCACCAGGUUGCCUAAGGAGGGGUGAACCGGCCCAGGUCGGAAACGGAGCAGGUCAAAACUCCCGUGCUGAUCAGUAGUGGGAUCGCGCCUGUGAAUAGCCACUGCACUCCAGCCUGGGCAACAUAGCGAGACCCUGUCUCU
rnacentral:SRP_RNA from 1 species